GCACAACGCGAAGAACCUUACCCACCUUUGACAUGUACGGAACUUGCCAGAGAUGGCUUGGUGCUCGAAAGAGAACCGUAACACAGGUGCUGCAUGGCUGUCGUCAGCUCGUGUCGUGAGAUGUUGGGUUAAGUCCCGCAACGAGCGCAACCCUUGCCAUUAGUUGCUACGAAAGGGCACUCUAAUGGGACUGCCGGUGACAAACCGGAGGAAGGUGGGGAUGACGUCAAGUCCUCAUGGCCCUUAUAGGUGGGGCUACACACGUCAUACAAUGGCUGGUACAAAGGGUUGCCAACCCGCGAGGGGGAGCCAAUCCCAUAAAACCAGUCGUAGUCCGGAUCGCAGUCUGCAACUCGACUGCGUGAAGUCGGAAUCGCUAGUAAUCGUGGAUCAGCAUGUCACGGUGAAUACGUUCCCGGGUCUUGUACACACCGAGUCUUGUACACACCGGGUCUUGUACAC
rnacentral:rRNA from 1 species